ACUCCUACGGGAGGCAGCAGUGAGGGAUAUUGGACAAUGGGCGGAAGCCUGAUCCAGCCAUGCCGCGUGAAGGAAUAAGGUCCUAUGGGUCGUAAACUUCUUUUGACGCAGAGCAAUAAGGGACACGCGUGUUCCGAUGAGAGUAUGCGUCGAAUAAGCAUCGGCUAACUCCGUGCCAGCAGCCGCGGUAAUACGGAGGAUGCGA
rnacentral:rRNA from 1 species